CGAAUAAAUCAUCGUUCACUUCUAUCUGGACCGUCAACCAGUCAGCACCUGUCUUCUCAUUUCUCUUUAACUGGCGACGAGGAAAAAAACCUUUUUACAGUUAUACAGUGUGUGAACAGUGAAACCUUCAAAAGUAAAACCCAAAUCUUGUGCAGUGGGACGGAUACGUUUUUUUUCGGCUACAACGGCAACAGAUAAACGGUUUUGCAGUGCAAAAGUUUUGGUUACGACGACAAGUGCCUAGUGAAGCAAGUACGGUUGCUAUCGAUAAAAAAAAACGGACUGCAUUUUGGCGCGUAUGGUGUGUGCGGAAUUUUCUCCCACAACGAAGGCCACGAAACAGCACGCCGGGAGCAGCCUACAACCACGGGAAAAGGCAUACGGCGAAGCUUUGCAGAUAGCGUUGGAGCAUUUUUUUUCUUGCUACGAGUCGCAGCCAGCGGCGGCAUUUAAAACGUCGGACAACGAGGACGGUGGUAAUAAACUAUCCGCCUAAUUGGCCGCUACAAACGCCGGAAAAUCCAGACGAAGGUGGCGAAUUUCGUUAUCACCAUUAAUUUGCGGAGGAAAACAGCAAUUUCGUCGAAAGGUCGGUAUUCGCAGAUCUCAGGAAGUGUUUGGGCCACCUAGGAAGGUUUUAAAGUAGUUCGAAUAGUACGGCUUCGGGUCGUUUUCCGGAAGACCACAUAGGGUAACUGCGACAAUUGUCGACACGGGCAAAGGCCUUAGGCGAGAGCCAAUCGUUUCUGUACGGAUAGCAAUUGGAAGCGCUCUCACCAUGGCCCACCGAAGUCAGCUUAGGUGCUACAAGGGGCAAACUCCGCAGCCGAGACAAAACGUGUGGCUGGGAGUCGGUACGGGUAGUAGAGAUGCUACGGUCGAAGAACGAACUGGAAUUGAAGAACGACACGAAGAGGACACCGAAGAAGUCAACGCUGGAAGCGGCUCUGAUGAUGAACCAUUCAGGGGAUUCCCUAUGGUUCCGGCAAAGGCCAGAAAGCGAAACGCGACUUUGGCGAACUUGCCGAACGUGUAUCCACGGCGAUCGAAGCGGAUCCGUAAGCGAAUCGAGGAUCCAGAUUUCAUUUAUUCGUAGUUAAUAAGUUCGAAGUGAAUUUUACAGUGAAGUGAAUUAUUUAAAUGAAUUUAGUUCUCAACGAUUUUGUAAAUUUGAUA